rnacentral:lncRNA from 1 species
GAUAAGGUGAUGGAAAAAGAUGGCCAGCAAAAUCAUUCAGGAUGUUUCCUCAUAGAAGGUGACUACAGACACACAGUUGUGAAUUGUGAUUAGAGACAUAAGGUUGCUUCAUCCAGAGGAUAUACAGAACAGGGCAGCUUAUCAAUUGCUCCUAUUCCAAUUGAAGCUACACGUACAGAAAUAUAAAGUGUGUUGGAUGUAUAGUGCAACAAAGUUGACUGUCAAUGACAAUUGGAUAUCGGAGAAUCCCUGCUACUUCUCCGAUAAUUGCUACUUCCUUAUCAAUGUAAUCUGAAAACCAAAUGUUGAGGUUCGUAGUUAUGUUUAAUCAAGAGAGAUUGUGAGAACGUAAUUUGGAUUUGUUUAGAAAAUGAUACAACCGCAUUAUGUUGUUGUCCAUGUAAGGUUGGGAAGUUUUUAAUCUUCGAUGUUUCCAUUUGGGAGUUUUAGUUUUAUUAAUGAGCAGCGUAUG